AAAGGGGCUGUGGGUGGGGGUACGGGGGAGACCCGAGGGGUGCUGGGAAGAGGGCUCCCCUCUCCAGCGCCAGCCCUGGUGUCGCUGUGCACUCGGAGCCGCGCGAAGGGCGCCCCUCGACCCGGAGGCACAGGAGCGUUUAGAGAGGAAAGAAAGAAAAAGCCACCGCUGGCUCGAAUUUCUGGAAGCCGGAGCCGGGUUUUUUGCCCUAAACACCGAGGCAGAACCCCUCUUAGCGCUGCCCCGGCCUCUCUGUUACCCAUUUUCGGUUUGCUUUUGGAAGAACCGGUUCCUCAGCCCCCCGUCGCCGCAGUUGUGACACAAGUGCAGGGGUGUUGGAACCCUUUGAAGAAGUGUGUAGCUAAUAGCCCAUACAUAAUUCAGAAGAAGUCUUCAAUGGAAGACCCCCGGGGGAUAAAUGGACAGUCUGUCAAGUGGGAUCAUGGAUUCAAAUGUUCUUUGAAAAUGAAAAGUGCAACAUAACUCUAAUUCACUUUUUAUUGGAAACAUCUCCAGAAAAAUGAAUAAACGACCAUGAAUAAAAAAUUAUCUGGCCACCUGCAAGUCUACAAUACAAUUUUAAAAAUGUGACCAUCACACCUGCAUCAGCACCUUGAAUAACUCUAGUUUAUGUGGUUGCAAGUAAUGGAACUUACCAUGAGCUGGCAUAAGAAAACAAAAGGAAAGUCUUAAGAAAGAGGGCAUCUGGGGAAUUCAGUGCUGGCUAACCCACCAUGGUUUAUACAUUACUGGGUCAUCCACCAUGUAGGAAGAAAACCUCUGACCGGUCCUGGAUGCAUCAUGAUCCUGUGCCUGAUAGAGCAGGUCGCUGCAGCAGAAACACCACAGUUCCCAGAGGAGAGGCUGGGCUGACCACCCAAUAGUUGGCUAUUGGGAUGGACCUUCAAAAACUCCCAUUUUGAGAUCAUUGAAGCACCAGUUUGAAAGCACAUAUCUGAUCCUACCUCAUCAUUUUGCAGAUGGGGAGAUUUAACCCUUGAUAUGCCAUCACCUAUAAUCUAUUUGAUGGAAGUAUCUAAUAAUGAAUAUAUAAUUA
rnacentral:lncRNA from 10 species